UACGUAGGGUGCGAGCGUUUGUCCGGAAUUAUUGGGCGUAAAGGGCUCGUAGGCGGUCCAUCGCGUCGGGAGUGAAAAGCUGGGGCUUAACCCCAGUCCUGCUUUCGAUACGGGUGGACUAGAGUAUUGCAGGGGAGACUGGAAUUCCUGGUGUAGCGGUGAAAUGCGCAGAUAUCAGGAGGAACACCGGUGGCGAAGGCGGCUUCCUGGACCGAUUACUGACGCUGAGGCGCGAAAGCUAGGGGAGCAAACGGG
rnacentral:rRNA from 1 species